GGUUGAUGUGAUGAUAACCUUUCAUAGAGAUACACAUCUGUUGACUAAAAUUCAGACUACAAUUAUCUGAUCAACU